rnacentral:rRNA from 1 species
CCUACGGGGGGCAGCAGUGGGGAAUAUUGGGCAAUGGGCGCAAGCCUGACCCAGCAACGCCGCGUGAAGGAAGAAGGCUUUCGGGUUGUAAACUUCUUUUCUCAGGGACGAAGAAAGUGACGGUCCCUGAGGAAUAAGCCACGGCUAACUACGUGCCAGCAGCCGCGGCAAUACGUAGGUGGCAAGCGUUAUCCGGAUUUAUUGGGUGUAAAGGGCGUGUGGGCGGGAGCGCAAGUCAGAUGUGAAAACUCAGGGCUCAACCCUGAGCCUGCAUUUGAAACUGUGGUUCUUGAGUGCGGGAGAGGCAAUCGGAAUGCCGGGUGUAGCGGUGAAAUGCGUAGAUAUACGGAGGAACACCAGUGGCGAAGGCGGAUUGCUGGACAGUAACUGACGCUGAGGCGCGAAAGCGUGGGGAGCAAACAGGAUUAGAUACCCCUGUAGUC